AGUGAGCUCGUUGUAUUUUGACAUUCAGGCCUUCCACAUCAGUCUUUGGAUCCACCAUUUACAAGUUGCAUGGAUUGGCCGUGCCGGUGACCAAGAAACUGCAGGUUAGGCUCAGCAUACUACGGCUGAAAUCCGGCAUUCUGUUUGCAGGUUAGAUUAUCGCAUUAUCGGUGCGGAGUUGGUCUGGAGAAGUAAUUCAAUCCGGGCUUCGCAGGUUGAAUGUGGAUCGCUUGCAUUCGGUUUGGACAAUCAGCACCCAGACUCAGCUAAUCCCUCACAAUUACACACCCGUAGGUGAAAGCUUUCGGCUUGUUUGAUGCGUCCUGUGGACGCCACCAGGACUGUAUUGACGGGGAUUGGGGAGCUUGCAUCGCAAGUGGACACUACUGAUAUGGCGGAGCUGCUGUUAUCAGAAUGGGAUGUGUGACAAAAGUGAUGAAUCAUGAACUGAGCGCUGGUGCAGAGUUGCCGCGGUCACCAGUGGUGAUAGUGUUGUGGCACGUGGAUCAUGGAAUAACACUUUGCUGGAUGCCUUCCGGCAAAUAUUCCUUGCAGGUCGGGAGGUUGGAUGCAUCACAGAGCGUUUGUGGUGGUCAGACGAUGAGCGACCUCUCUUGCAGAUUGUUGUCUUUCUUGUAAUGCCGUUGAUGGAGUGAUGCCGCAGACUCUUGAAGCUAUGUCCCAGUUGUACGCUCGGAAAACCUAGUUCCUGAUGCAAUUUUUGUUACAGAGACGCAGUUAGGAUGAAUUAGUGUGCGGGAAGAUGUGUCUACACCUGGGGACCGAGACAAUAUCCGGAGUUUUCCAGAAGCCGGAGAUUACAUUCAGAUCUUAGCUAGUGAGGAGAGAACGAGGAAAUAGGAUCAGGCUUGACAGACCAGAUUGAAGGAGAAGCGCAUGUGAUAGUUGAAGCUACGAGUUGUUCCUGCCGUUGUUGGGGAUGAGACUGAUGUUCUCACUGUAGAGUUGCGGGCGAUGAGGUUAUCUCUGAAGGCGAAUAUUCAGGGUACUGCUGAAGCAGUUAACCAAAUUCUCAUCCUCCCCAGCUAUCCUCGGGUGAAGCCAACAUCGUGCACUUAAGGUAGGGACAGUUUCUCAAUCCGACAUUGAUCUCGUCGUCAGCACAACAACUCUUAUUACUGAAUUUAAUGUGGUCCAUAAGGGAUUUGCAAUAUAGACGGCAAUCCGACCAACAAAACUCAAAGUCUCGAAGCGCCA